UGGGAGUUUAGCUCAGUUGGUUAGAGCACUGUGUUGAUAACGCAGGGGUCCCAGGUUCGAAUCCUGGAAUUCCCAU
rnacentral:tRNA from 5 species